AACGAACGCUGGCGGCAUGCCUAACACAUGCAAGUCGAACGAGACCUUCGGGUCUAGUGGCGCACGGGUGCGUAACGCGUGGGAACCUGCCCUUAGGUUCGGAAUAACUCCCCGAAAGGGGUGCUAAUACCGGAUAAUGUCUUCGGACCAAAGAUUUAUCGCCUUUGGAUGGGCCCGCGUUGGAUUAGCUAGUUGGUAGGGUAAAAGCCUACCAAGGCGACGAUCCAUAGCUGGUCUGAGAGGAUGAUCAGCCACACUGGGACUGAGACACGGCCCAGACUCCUACGGGAGGCAGCAGUGGGGAAUAGUGGACAGUGGGCGAAAGCCUGAUCCAGCAAUGCCGCGUGAGUGAUGAAGGCCUUAGGGUUGUAAAGCUCUUUUACCCGGGAUGAUAUUGACAGUACCGGGAGAAUAAGCUCCGGCUAACUCCGUG
rnacentral:rRNA from 1 species